rnacentral:misc_RNA from 1 species
GGCCCACUCUCAACAGAGCAAGAUCUAGAACUAGGUGCCCCAGGUCUGCCCCUAGUGGCAGAGGUUGGUCUUUCUGGUAGCGAUGUCCUUAGGUUUGGAGGUGCAUCAAGAGAGAAACCAGGCAUUUCAGAUGGUUUCCAUGGUCUUGAUUUGACAGUAGGGGAGCUGCCUCUUGAAGGUGUUGGCGCUGCAGUUUUUGCUGGUGAAGAACCUUUGGGCAUUGUCGAACCUGGUUUGGAGAUUGAGGACGAUCUAACUGGUGCAGCUAAGUUACCAUGCUGGGCCGAAGGGGCAGAAGGUCGCCUUGUUGGAGUUGAUGCCCUUGAUGUAGGCUUGCUUUGUGCUGGUAUGGAGGGUCUGGAUGAUGGUGUUGUUGACCUGGUAGCAGGUAUUGAUGACCUUGAAGUAGGUGUGGAUGACCUACUAGCAGGGGCAGAUGCUCUGCCUAUAGGAGCUGAAGUCC